CAGUAGCCACGGGAAUACGGAGGGUGCAAGCGUUAUUCGGAAUUACUGGGCGUAAAGCGCACGCAGACGGUUGCCCAAGUCAGAUGUGAAAGCCCCGGGCUUAACCUGGGAACUGCAUUUGAAACUGGGCGACUAGAGUAUGAAAGAGGAAAGCGGAAUUUCCAGUGUAGCAGUGAAAUGCGUAGAUAUUGGAAGGAACACCGAUGGCGAAGGCAGCUUUCUGGGUCGAUACUGGCGCUCAUGUGCGAAAGCGUGGGGAGCAAACAGGAUUAGAUACCCCCGUAGUCCCUGUCUCUUAUAC
rnacentral:rRNA from 1 species